GGCGCCGUCGCCAAGUGGUAAGGUCCGGGACUGCAAAUCCUGUAUACGUCGGUUCGAAUCCGACCGGCGCCUCCA
rnacentral:tRNA from 1 species